GGAGUAGGAUACAGCGCGUUAAGUGCCGGACGGAUAGGAGGUUGCCGCCGGACGAAGGGAUUUCUUUUGAUCCCGCGGUGCUCUAUCCGC
rnacentral:ncRNA from 1 species